GUAGGGUGCGAGCGUUAAUCGGAAUUACUGGGCGUAAAGCGUGCGCAGGCGGUUAUGUAAGACAGAUGUGAAAUCCCCGGGCUCAACCUGGGACCUGCAUUUGUGACUGCAUAGCUAGAGUACGGUAGAGGGGGAUGGAAUUCCGCGUGUAGCAGUGAAAUGCGUAGAUAUGCGGAGGAACACCGAUGGCGAAGGCAAUCCCCUGGACCUGUACUGACGCUCAUGCACGAAAGCGUGGGGAGCAAACAGGAUUAGAUACCCUGGUAGUCCACGCCCUAAACGAUGUCAACUGGUUGUUGGGUCUUCACUGACUCAGUAACGAAGCUAACGCGUGAAGUUGACCGCCUGGGGAGUACGGCCGCAA
rnacentral:rRNA from 1 species